CACGAACCGUCCAAACGUUAUUCGGAAUUAUUGGGCUUAAAGGGUGCGUAGGCGGCUCCUUAAGUCGGGUGUGAAAUCCUUCGGCUCAACCGAAGAACUGCGCCCGAUACUGGGGGGCUUGAGGGAGACAGGGGUGAGCGGAACUGAUGGUGGAGCGGUGAAAUGCGUUGAUAUCAUCAGGAACACCGGUGGCGAAAGCGGCUCACUGGGUCUCUUCUGACGCUGAGGCACGAAAGCCAGGGUAGCGAACGGG
rnacentral:rRNA from 1 species